rnacentral:rRNA from 1 species
AUGGGCUCGCGGUACGAGGUGGAGAUCACCGUCGGCUCCGCGCGGGACCUCAAGAACGUCAACUGGCGCAACGGCGACCUCAAGCCCUACGCCGUGCUCUGGAUCGACGCCGGCGCGCGCUGCUCCACCCGCGUCGACCUCGACAACGGCGACAACCCCGCCUGGGACGAGAAGGUCGUCGUCCCGCUCCCGCCCGCCAGCCGCCUGGAGGACGCGGUCCUCUACAUCGACGUCGUCCACGCCAACGCCGCCGAGGGGGUCAAGCCGCUCGUCGGCUCGGCACGGCUGCCUCUCCGCGACGUCGGGGGCAAGGCGUCGAGGAAUCUCAAGCUCAAGCGGCCCUCCGGGCGGCCCCAGGGGAAGCUUGACGUCCGCGUCGCCGUCAAGGAGCCGGCCAGGUACUACGACAACAACCCUGGUGGCUACCCGGCGCCCGCGGGGUACGGCUCCUCCCGUGAUGCCUACGGUGGUGGGUACGGCGCCGCGGCGGGGGCUGGAGGCUACGGAGCGUACGCUGCGGCAGCGCCUCCGUCGGGGUACCCGGGCUACGGCUCCGCCGCGCCGCCUCCCCAUGCAGCAGCACCGUACGGCUCUGCUCCACCUCCAUACGGCGCAGCACCGCCGACCCAGGGAGCAGGCGGGUACGGCUCCUCUGUUCAGCCGGCAUACGGCGCCGCCGCGCAGCAGACUCAGGGAGCGGGCGGGUACGGCUCCUCUGCUUCUGCUUACGGCGCGGGUCAGGGGGCAGGGUACGGUGGCACGACGGGGGUGGGCCUGGACCAGAGCGGCGGGAAGACGAAGAAGAAGGGGAUGGGGAUGGCGGGCGGGCUGGCGGUGGGCGCGGCGGCGGGCGUGCUGGGCGGGCUGGCGCUGGCGGGCGGGGCGAGCUACGUGGAGAACAAGAUCGAGGACCGCGUGACGGAGCGCGUGGAGGAGGACAUGUACCGCGGCGGUGGGUACGACGACUACGGCGGCGACGACGACUACUAG